rnacentral:rRNA from 1 species
AACCUCCGCAAUGUGAGAAAUCGCGACGGGGGGAUCCCAAGUGCCAUUCUUAACGGGAUGGCUUUUCUUAAGUGUAAAAAGCUUUUGGAAUAAGAGCUGGGCAAGACCGGUGCCAGCCGCCGCGGUAACACCGGCAGCUCUAGUGGUAGCUGUUUUUAUUGGGCCUAAAGCGUUCGUAGCCGGUUUGAUAAGUCACUGGUGAAAUCCUGUAGCUUAACUGUGGGAAUUGCUGGUGAUACUGUUGAACUUGAGGUCGGGAGAGGUUAGCGGUACUCCCAGGGUAGAGGUGAAAUUCUGUAAUCCUGGGAGGACCACCUGUGGCGAAGGCGGCUAACUGGAACGAACCUGACGGUGAGGGACGAAAGUUAGGGGCGCGAACCGAUUAGAUACCCGGGUAGUCCUAACUGUAAACGAUGCGGACUUGGUGUUGGGGUGGCUUUGAGCUGCUUCAGUGCCGAAGGAAGCUGUUAAGUCCGCCGCCUGGGAAGUACGGUCGCAAGACUAAAACUUAAAGGAAGU